UUAUUCACCUGAUAAGUCACUCCAUCAGACUUUUAAUACAACUGGCUAUGUCAUAGGAUUUUUCCUGGUAAACUUACUUCCACCUUUAACCAAUCCACCAUGGUUGUUCCAGUGGGCAAGUCUCAGCCAUGCUACUCACAUUGCCCAGUUUACCUAUAACCAUGCUUAGAGACAAUAUAGGAAAUGCUCAGCCCUUUUGCACUCUUUCUUGGUCUUUCAUUUUAUUUAUUUAUUUGGCCACACCCUCAGCAUAUGGAAGUUCCAUGGCCAAGGAUGAAAUCCGAGCCACAGCUGCAGCCUACACCACAUAUAUCCUGAUCUUGGUUUCAUUGUUUUUUUCUUCACCCUCCCACUCACAAACUAAUGAUUAGCUUGCAAUUUCUUAACCAGUUCCUAUUCUGCUGGAAUUGCAGAAUAGGAGAAAACUCAAAAAGAAUUUUCAUCUUUUUUUUUUUUUUUUUACUGGUUUUAGUUGUGCCAUAUGAUUUCAGGUUUUUUUGAACCAUUUGUGUAAUCUGUUUAAAAUUUUAUUAUUGUUAAGAGACAGCAUAAUACCAUAAUGGUCAUGUUGAGGCAACAUGGCUUUUAGGUUCCGUCACAUCUUUGAUGAGUUAUGGUAAUCAGUUUGUUAACAUCUAUAACCUCAUUUUUUUCUCUCUGUAACUAGUCUUUAACCCCUGCAUCUUAGAUUUCUGAAAACUUAAUAAGAUACGAAUUUGAAAUGGAAGCAACAUUAUUGAGACAUGCUAGCCAUUACUAUGACUACUACUUUCACUCCCACUAAUAUUGCCACAUUAAACUGUUUGGAAGCUAUGUUACUGCUCCUUUUCAAAGGAUUCUCAUUGCUGUGUAUAUGCUUUUUAGCAUUAAAAAAAAAUGGAUGAAUUGUGCCUUAAAUGCAUGUUCUUUGCUUUCACUAAAUAGACAGCAUACAGGUUGAAAAAGGCUAGAGACUUAUCUUGUCCUACAUCUGAUUUUUUUUUUUUUUUUGAGUUGCUGUGCUAUGGAGUAAAACACGAGCAUGCCAAUAAAUUGAUGUCUCAACCUUUAGAGUUGAAAACUUGCUGUGGCUAAAGUCCCAAGGCUGGAUGCCUAUGGCCACAAGCAGCCAUAACUCUUUAACCCUCAGUUUCCAUGCAUGCUAUGAUGUGAUAGUUGGAAGGCCUUAGUCUAAGAGCAACUCUGCCAACAGAUGAUGAAUUUGGUAAAUUCUCUGCAUGUAACUAGUGUGUAUACUGUCAUAUGCACGUACAUUUUUGCUUGUAUAUUUAUUUUUAUUUUAUAUAUUUCAAUUGAGGAAUGAUUUAUGGAGUGUAUAGUAUUGAACUAAUCAUACCAAAGUUUUAAGAGAAUUGAUCAUUCUACUGUAUUGUGAGAAGGAGGGCAGUUUAUUAAAAUCAAACAGCAUUCAUUUUAGAGAAUAGUUAGAGAUUAUCUGUCAGAAGAAUUUAGUUGCCUGGUCCAUGAGAUAGUUAAGUAAUUAUUAUUGAAUUUAAUAUGUAAAUAAUAGUAUGUUUCAAGUCUUUAUUAAACUCAUUGGGUUUUCUGUACCACAUGAAGUACUUAAUAAAUGUUCCUUAAAGGAAUAUCUAUCUUGUAAAAAUGCUUUGAUCAUUUUUUAGGGAAAUGAGAUAAGUGGACAAUAUGGAGGGUGAGGUUUUAGAUUUAUUCGUUUAAAUUUUGUGUCAAAAUUAUUAUGGAAAGAGGCUAUGUUUUUUCAUAAAAGAUCUGGAGCAACCGUAGAGGCAGAAUUAUAAAGUGAAUGAAUUAAAAUUGUGUUUUUAAAAAAGCAUCAUCUGGAGUGUCAUGGGAUGUUCCUUUGCCUUCUCAUAGAAACCAGUUUUCUCAUCUUUAUGUUUGGAAAUUACAAAUUACCGUCAACCUAUAGUGAACUUUUGCAGAUAUCAUUUUGUGCUUUAUAUAAUCCAGGAUACUGUACACUCCCUUUUGUCUUGUGUGCAGGCAUUUUCCCGCUGCAUUCCCACUAUUGUGAAGCUUUCCAUUGAGGGCACAUGUUUCUAUAUCCUAGUCUCAUUUUAUUUAAAUAUUCUGCUGUGGUUGAUUAACCACAAGCUAUAUAAGCAGUAAAAAGAAGGAAAAAGAAAUAACUUCAUACAGAAUUAUUGUCAAUAGAAGGUGACACAGGCUGAAGUAAUAAUAAAAGUUAAAUGGAGAAUAUAUCAAAUUAAUGUAUGGCAUAAUCCCAAACUCCAUGAAAGGUUUGGUUUACUGCGAUGUUAGGGGAAGCAAUAACCUUUAUAUAAAAGCCACCUACUGAGAGACUAAGAUGAAAUUUUAGUAUGUCUGUGUAAUUUUCUUUGUAAUGAUGUUAUAACAGUCUACAUUCUUUAUAACAAAUAUGUAUAAGCAUAGAUUCAGGAAUAAACUAUGUCAUUAUCUGCUAUGGGAAGCUAAUAGGAAAUAAAGUGUUAUAAAGCAUGAAUUUAUAAAGCCUUGUCCAGAGGUAAGAAACAAUUCUGGAUUAUUGGCACUGAUUAUGUCAGUCAUUCACCAAAAAGAAAAUAAAUAAAUCAUCAAAUAUUAGAAAUGAUAGUACACCUGUUAAAGCUCAAGAAGAUAGUUACAGGUAAGUAAAAGAAUAUUUUAUUUUACUUAGUGGGAAUAAACAUAAGAAAACUAUAACCCUAAUCGAGUAGCCACAAGUUGUUAUGGGAAGUGAUGGGUGUUAGGACGUUCCUCUUUUUUUUUUUUUUUUUUUUUUUUUUUUGUCUUUUGCCUUUUUAGGCCCACACCUGCGGCAUAUGGAAGUUCCCAGGAUAGGGCUUGAAUGGGAGUCAUUGCUGCUGGCUUAUGCCUGACCUAUAUCACAGCUCAUGGGAACGCCAGAUCCUUAACCCACUGAGUUAGGCCAGGGAUUGAACCUGCAACCUCAUUGUUCCUAGUCAGAUUCAUUUCUGCCGCACCAAGACGGGAACUCCAGGACCAUUCCUCUUAUAUUCUGAGUGUGACAGAUUGUAUGGUAACCAAGUGUUCUCAUCUUAUAUCUCUAUGUAUCAUUUUUGAAUGGGAUUAAAAGACUGAAUGUGCAUGGUGCGUGCAUAUUCUAGGCAUCAAUAGUGCCAGUAGCAAUAGCAGCAGCACUGGCAUCGGCUGUCUCAGAGACAAAUUUAUACCUGUGGUAUCCUUUCUCUUUUGGAUGUAAUAGUGAAGGAAAGCUGGAGAUAAUUUAGGCAGGACCUCUCCCAGCCGAGUCACCGCAUUUUAAAAUUAUGUCCCUUAACUUCUCAGAACCAGAAACUGUGUGUUGUCAGUGUAGUCAGGAUUAACUAAGAUUUUUUAAACUUGGAAAGGCUUCAUAUGUAAGCUGGAAAUACUAAUUUAUGAAUAAGAAUUCUUUCAGUGAUCAAAAGGCUUAAAAACACUCUCAAGAGCCAACUACUCUCUCAUAGUAAGAAGCUACAUAGAAAACAAAAUUGCCCAAUAGAAAGCUCCUCCUCGGAUGGUAUUAAAAAAAGAAUACACAUGGUUUAAAGGUAAAGUUUCAUGAGAAAUUAUUUCUAUUUCACAGUGGAGAAUUGGACUUCUCAAGCCCUUUAAAUCUUAUAUAGUCCCCUUGAACAGUGCUAAAUGCUUGACAAGACAGGGCUCUUAUGGAUUUCUUGGAUCAAUUUCCAUUCUAUCUGAUCCUUUUGUUGGCACAUAUCAUAUUUGGAUCAGUUAGUAUCAAAGUUUAUUAAAGAACUGCUUUACUAGUCUAAGAGUCCCUGUUUUCAUACACUUUCUGAAUUAGCCCAGCUCUCUGAGUUCUUGAAGUUUUUAUUGUGCAAAUUUCAAUUUGCAUAGAAUUCCAGACUCACCAACGUCACUCCCUUCAAUCACAGUGAUUUAUGUGUGUGCCACAGAAUGAUUAUCCCAACAUCUUUGCAUCAUUUCUCUAAUCUCCGAAGUGGCUUCAGCCAAUAAAUAUCAGAAAAACUGAGUUCUGGAUGAUGCAGAUGGAGGAGCAGACUUUUCCACUGACCUCUCACUUUGAGGAAAGUAUCUAAGCAUGGGGUCCUAGAGUACUUCCCUGGGAGUCCAUGGAGAUUUUCCUGCACCCCCCCCCAAAAAAAAAUGCUAAUAGCUACCAUUUAUGAAAGACCUGCUGUGAGCCAGUCAGUAUUACUAAGGAGUUUACAUAUAGCUCUAAUUUCAUCUUGACAAAAUUGAAUAUGAUAGACAUUAUUAAAUUCAUUUAAAAAUUAAUAAACUGGAGCUCAGAUAAAUUAAGAUAAAUAAUUGAGGUUAUUAAGAUCAGUGAGUGGGAGGAAUUCCCAUUGUGGCUCAGUGGGUUAAGAACCCAACUAAUAUCCUGAGGAUGUGGGUUCAAUCCCUUGCUAGACUCAGUGGGUUAAGGAUCUGGUGUUGUUGCAAGCUGUAGUAUAGGUCGCAUUGUAGGAGAAAAUGUCCUGAUAAAAAGGUAGAAAGGACAGAUCCUGGCCAUAAUGACUAAGUGAAGUCCAGCCAACUGCCCCUAACCACCCUCCCCCAUGCAUCUGCUUCUGUAAACUUGCUUCCACAUCUACUACCUUGCCUGACCUCACUCCAGUCUGCCAAGCACAGACCUGGAAGAGCUAACCCAUAAAAGCCUUAUGAAACCCUUCUUCGGGGCUCAGACUCUGGAGAGUGAUCUCCUCUGACUCUGAGCAUGCCGGCAUAAUAAACCUGAGUUCUCCAGCUCUCUGAGAGUGCUUGCUUGGUUUCUCGCUGGGUAAAAGAUCUGAUACAUGAUACACCGCAGCCACGGAGCUGCUGGAGCUGCUACACUACAGCCUCAGGGCUGUCGCUAGAGCUGGUACACUGCAGCUGCAGGACUGCUGGGCAGUUGCCGUAGCAGCAGACACAGCUCAGAUAUUAGCAAGCAACUGCCGCUCUGAUCCUACCCCUAGCUUGGGAAUGUUCCUCUGCUGCAGGUGUGGU
rnacentral:lncRNA from 1 species